rnacentral:rRNA from 2 species
CUAUCAUGCAAGUCGAACGCUUCUUUUUCCACCGGAGCUUGCUCCACCGGAAAAAGAGGAGUGGCGAACGGGUGAGUAACACGUGGGUAACCUGCCCAUCAGAAGGGGAUAACACUUGGAAACAGGUGCUAAUACCGUAUAACAAUCAAAACCGCAUGGUUUUGAUUUGAAAGGCGCUUUCGGGUGUCGCUGAUGGAUGGACCCGCGGUGCAUUAGCUAGUUGGUGAGGUAACGGCUCACCAAGGCCACGAUGCAUAGCCGACCUGAGAGGGUGAUCGGCCACAUUGGGACUGAGACACGGCCCAAACUCCUACGGGAGGCAGCAGUAGGGAAUCUUCGGCAAUGGACGAAAGUCUGACCGAGCAACGCCGCGUGAGUGAAGAAGGUUUUCGGAUCGUAAAACUCUGUUGUUAGAGAAGAACAAGGAUGAGAGUAACUGUUCAUCCCUUGACGGUAUCUAACCAGAAAGCCACGGCUAACUACGUGCCAGCAGCCGCGGUAAUACGUAGGUGGCAAGCGUUGUCCGGAUUUAUUGGGCGUAAAGCGAGCGCAGGCGGUUUCUUAAGUCUGAUGUGAAAGCCCCCGGCUCAACCGGGGAGGGUCAUUGGAAACUGG